GCGGAGGUGAGCGCGGCGAACGAGUCGCAGAGUACUUGGUUGGACCUGCCGACUCUAGCUCAGGUGCUCAGAACCUCCUGGGGAGCUCGCCGCACCCUCCACCGAGGCUCGAUGGGUUUGAGGAGACUUCUGUCGCCUCAAGAAGGACGGCCUUGGUUCUCCACCCUCCCAUCUGCCUCUGUUCCCUUGUAUUUAAAGAGUUGAUAAAAGUCUGACACUCCUCCCUCUUGCUGCAGCGUCCUCCCUCCUCGUUUCUGUAAAGACUGCCUUCUCCUCUCCAACCUCAGACUACCACCUUGAACAUCCUACCGGUUCCUUCAAACAUCCUCCGAAAAUCUGCAAGUGUUGACUUCUGGCAAAGACUAUAUACCACGCUUAAUUUUUACUUAAAAUGCAAACUGAUGUUUGGAAUGUCGUUACCCAAAGUGAUCGAAACAAGGGCCAAAGGUCUUGCGAAUCAUAAACUAUGGUAAAUACUGCUAAUAAUACUACUGAUGAGAGAAAACACCUACAAGAAAGAUGAGAGCUCUCAGCGACUGCUCCAGUGCCAUGCCUGGCUGCCUGCUGCCAUAGAUCCACCAGGAUGCUCAAGGGCUAACCUUCCAAAACUGCAAGCAAGACGCCAAUUACAUGCUUCCUUUUCCAAGUUACCUUUUCCAAGGUGUCUCCUCACAGCAAGAGAACAAUAACUAAGUCAUUACUGUAACAGCUUUGUGUCUGAUACGUAUAGUAUAGUAUAGUAUAGUAUAGUGUAGUGUAGUGUAGUAUAGUAGUAUAGUAUAGUAGUUCACAUUAUUAUUUUAUUUUAUUUUUUUGGUUUUUCGAGACAGGGUUUCUCUGUGUAGCCCUGGCUGUCCUGGAACUCACUCUGUAGACCAGGCUGUCCUCGAACUCAGAAAUCCACCUGCCUCUGCCUCCCAAGUGCUGGGAUUAAAAGCAUGUGCCACCACUGCCCGGCUAGUAUUUCACAUUAUUAACAGUAUGUUUGGAACAAUAUGUACCAUUUUAAAAUCUUACUAAACAUUAUUGUUAUUUGCCAUUUCUGAAAGUCAAAGUGGCUUCUAGAAUAGCUGUAAUUUGAUUUUUUUUUCAAAUAGAUAAUCUUGAUUU